UUGGAGGGCAAGUCUGGUGCCAGCAGCCGCGGUAAUUCCAGCUCCAAUAGCGUAUAUUAAAGUUGUUGCAGUUAAAAAGCUCGUAGUUGAAUUUCGAGAUCAAUUUGUUGGUCGUGCCUCGGUACGUACUGGCAAUUUUGAUUUCUCCCUUCUGAAGAACCAUGAUGUCAUUAAUUUGGUGUCAUGGGGAAUCAGGACCGUUACUUUGAAAAAAUUAGAGUGUUUAAAGCAGGCUCGCGCUUGAAUACAUUAGCAUGGAAUAAUGAAAUAGGACGUUUGAUUCUAUUUUGUUGGUUUCUAGGAUCGACGUAAUGAUUAAUAGGGAUAGUUGGGGGCAUUAGUAUUCAAUUGUCAGAGGUGAAAUUCUUGGAUUUAUUGAAGACUAACUACUGCGAAAGCAUUUGCCAAGGAUGUUUUCAUUAAUCAAGAACGAAAGUUAGGGGAUCGAAGUCGAUCAGAUACCGUCGUAGUCUUAACCAUAAACUAUGCCGACUAGGGAUCGGAUGAUGUUAAUUUUUUAAUGACUCAUUCGGCGCCUUACGGGAAAC
rnacentral:rRNA from 1 species